AGAACCAAUUCUUCUAUUAUUACUACUACUGUCUCCUGUACCGCUGGGAUUAGCACUUCAGCUAUUGCCUCUAAUGUCCGCCUUCUCGAUAGUGAUUGUGUUGGUGGGAAUAGUUUACCGUACCACUGGGAUCCUGGGUUCAAAAUGCUUCAAAAUUUAAUACACAAACAACCUGUUAAAUUGGAGUCAUGGCAGCAGGUGAUCAGAACGAUCUCCUGAGCAUAAAACAAUACCAAACUAAUAAUUGUUGUUAAAACAAUGCUGAAAAAAGUGAACGUGAUUCAAAACGAUCCACGGUAAGGUUUGUAUGUCCGUCGUGAUUACCGUGUGCAGAACGUCAUCGAAAUGGCCAGUAGAUAUUUUUAAAUACAAAACCGACUAAUACACCAACAACCCGUUAAUAGAUGGCUUUUCAGGAAUUUUCAAUAGUUCUCAAACGUCUAAUAUGAUCAAAUAAAUAAUAACAAUGCUAACAAAUCUACUGGCCAAUAUGGCAACCGGGAGAAGGCGUUGAUUCCAGAUCGUGCUCCAGCAGAACGGAAUCAUCUGGAUGUUGUAGAACGGAGCCGCUUAUCAGCGUAUGCUAUUUUGAGGAAGAACGAAAUGAAACGGAAGAAGAUCGGACAUACUAGCAACCACGACCAGUUGGGGUUGGAUAGAGCAGUCCACUGAACGUGCAGAAUCCAUCUACGUACACAGACCUUAUAGCUUCAAUCAUAAAAUCGUUUGUUCGUAUUCUCUCAACUAUGGAGGGCGUAAAACAUUCCCACAAAACCAACGACGAUACUGGAGAGAGCGAGUACAUUGCAGGGUGGUCACAUUCGAAAACAAUGCAAAUUCGAAGUUUUGUAUUUCCUUGUAGGGUGUGAACAACCAAUACGAAGGGCUUUGCAUUCCAUUUACACCAAAGAAUGACGGAAAAAGAAUUCUGAAUAUCAUAGAUCCAUUAAAUUAAAAUACGAUGUUUUGCCAAUUUACUCACAAAAAAUUACAUUCGAAUGGGAAUUCGGUCACAUUUUUUGCUUUUGAUACGAUCGAUCAUUGCCUUCUGAAGAUUUUUUUUACCGCUUAGUCACUAAA